GAUGAACGCUGGCGGCGUGCCUAACACAUGCAAGUCGAACGGACCUUGCUUUUUGGAGUACUUGUACAAAGAAAGAGCGCUGGUUAGUGGCGGACGGGUGAGUAACACGUGGGUAAUUAACCUUCUAGACUGGGAUAACAACGGGAAACUGGUGCUAAUACCGGAUAAGAUUCAUUGGCGGCAUCGCCGAUGGAUGAAAAGAGGCCUCUCCAUGGAAGCUCCUGCUAGAAGGCAAGCCCGCGGCUGAUUAGCUAGUUGGUGAGGAAAUGGCUAACCAAGGCAACGAUCAGUAGCCGGCCUGAGAGGGUGAACGGCCACACUGGGACUGAGACACGGCCCAGACUCCUACGGGAGGCAGCAGUGGGGAAUAUUGCGCAAUGGGGGAAACCCUGACGCAGCAACGCCGCGUGAAUGAAGAAGGCCUUCAGGUUGUAAAGUUCUGUCAAUUGGGAAGAAACCUCUGAGGUCAAUAGCCUUAGAGAUGACGGUACCUAAGAAGGAAGCUCCGGCUAACUACGUGCCAGCAGCCGCCGUAA
rnacentral:rRNA from 1 species